AGUGGACUGCGCUUCUCGGCAGGCCAAUACAUUUCCGGGGCCUUAUUGAUCUCAAAGGGAGCUGUCCCUGACCGGACCCGUGGGUUCGGAUAUACGGCGCCCACCUACGUUGUAGGUUCCCGGGAUCAAUGCGCCACCGGUCGCCGUGGUCCGCUC
rnacentral:other from 1 species